GAAUAGGAUAGAGAAAAUGGAAGUAGAACUCUGACUAAUGAAUUUGUAUUAAUGACUUCAGAUAUGUACAAUAAGAGAGAGUACAGAGAAUACAAAAAGUACAUUUUCAAAGCUCUACUGGACGGGAUAUAUAUAUGGUUCA